rnacentral:lncRNA from 1 species
UGCAGCUCUGCAGGCAUUCCAGGCAGUAGCUCGUUACUUCGAGGUGAGCAGCCAGCUGUCGGAGCAGCCAAACAGCGACAGUACAGCGCUGUUCUCCACUCCUCGUUAGUAUAGUGGGCCCUGCAGCAGAGCGGUGCCAGGCACAGUGCCGCCUUUACCCGUUCAGCUCUGGUGCUGAGCAGGGCGCUGGGAAUGCUGCCAGCUGGUGCUUGAAGCAGACACCCUGACACC